rnacentral:rRNA from 1 species
GGGCUUGACAUCCCACGAACCUGUGGAAACACAAGGUGCCUUCGGGCGAAGUGAGACAGGUGGUGCAUGGUUGUCGUCAGCUCGUGUCGUGAGAUGUUGGGUUAAGUCCCGCAACGAGCGCAACCCUUGCCCCGUGUUACUAACAGGUCAAGCUGAGGACUCUCGGGGGACUGCCGGCGUCAAGCUGGAGGAAGGCG